rnacentral:rRNA from 1 species
GUCGACGCUGAAGCUCCAGCUUGCUGGGGUGGAUGAGUGGCGAACGGGUGAGUAACACGUGAGUAACCUUCCCUUGACUCUGGGAUAAGCCCGGGAAACUGGGUCUAAUACCGGAUACGACCUCCUAUCGCAUGGUGGGGGGUGGAAAGAUUUAUCGGUUUUGGAUGGACUCGCGGCCUAUCAGCUUGUUGGUGAGGUAAUGGCUCACCAAGGCGACGACGGGUAGCCGGCCUGAGAGGGUGACCGGCCACACUGGGACUGAGACACGGCCCAGACUCCUACGGGAGGCAGCAGUGGGGAAUAUUGCACAAUGGGCGCAAGCCUGAUGCAGCGACGCCGCGUGAGGGAUGACGGCCUUCGGGUUGUAAACCUCUUUCAGUAGGGAAGAAGCUUUCGGGUGACGGUACCUGCAGAAGAAGCGCCGGCUAACUACGUGCCAGCAGCCGCGGUAAUACGUAGGGCGCGAGCGUUAUCCGGAAUUAUUGGGCGUAAAGAGCUCGUAGGCGGUUUGUCGCGUCUGCCGUGAAAGUCCGGGGCUUAACCCCGGAUCUGCGGUGGGUACGGGCAGACUAGAGUGCAGUAGGGGAGACCGGAAUUCCUGGUGUAGCGGUGAAAUGCGCAGAUAUCAGGAGGAACACCGAUGGCGAAGGCAGGUCUCUGGGCUGUUACUGACGCUGAGGAGCGAAAGCAUGGGGAGCGAACAGGAUUAGAUACCCUGGUAGUCCAUGCCGUAAACGUUGGGCACUAGGUGU